rnacentral:lncRNA from 1 species
UGAUCAUUUAUCGGGCAAUAGGUGUUGAGAUUUUUUCCUUGUGUUACAUGACAUUGCUUCUUGCCAAAUGUCAUGAUUAUAGUUCAACGUAAAAGAACACAAUAUCUGAUGAGUACUUACAAAUUUAGAAGGAUGACCAGUGCGUUACACUCUUUUGUGAUUG